GGGAACUACGAGCAUAAGCUUAAAACCCAAAGGACUUGGCGGUGCUUUAGACCCCCCUAGAGGAGCCUGUUCUAGAACCGAUAACCCCCGUUCGACCUCACCUUUUCUUGUUCAUCCCGUCUAUAUACCGCCGUCGUCAGCAUACCCUGUGAAAGAAACAUAGUAGGCAAAACUGGUAAAACCCAAAACGCCAGGUCGAGGUGUAGCAUACGAAAAGGAAAGAAAUGGGCUACAUUUCCUCUUACAGGAAAUACGAAUUGGGUCAUGAAACAACACAUGAAGGAGGAUUUAGCAGUAAGCAGAAAAC
rnacentral:rRNA from 1 species